rfam:Yersinia mollaretii ATCC 43969 contig01555, whole genome shotgun sequence.
AGCACAACCCGUGAUGUGGUUGUUUUUAUCAUAAUUAUUUGAUAAUAGGGCAAUAUUUUAUUGUCCUUUUUUAUUU